rnacentral:rRNA from 1 species
GACGAACGCUGGCGGCGUGCUUAACACAUGCAAGUCGAACGGAAAGGCCCUGCUUUUGUGGGGUGCUCGAGUGGCGAACGGGUGAGUAACACGUGAGUAACCUGCCCUUGACUUUGGGAUAACUUCAGGAAACUGGGGCUAAUACCGGAUAGGAGCUCCUGCUGCAUGGUGGGGGUUGGAAAGUUUCGGCGGUUGGGGAUGGACUCGCGGCUUAUCAGCUUGUUGGUGGGGUAGUGGCUUACCCAGGCUUUGACGGGUAGCCGGCCUGGGAGGGUGACCGGCGACAUUGGGACUGAGAUACGGCGCAGACUCCUACGGGAGGCAGCAGUGGGGAAUAUUGCACAAUGGGCGGAAGCCUGAUGCAGCAACGCCGCGUGCGGGAUGACGGCUUUCGGGUUGUAAACCGCUUUCGCCUGUGACGAAGCGUGAGUGACGGUAAUGGGUAAAGAAGCACCGGCUAACUACGUG